rnacentral:rRNA from 1 species
UGGCGGCGUGCCUAACACAUGCAAGUCGAACGGAGUAUAUUCGCUGCAGAGAUUUCGGUCGAAGCUUGAGUAUACUAGUGGCGGACGGGUGAGUAACGCGUGGGCAACCUGCCUCAUACUGGGGGAUAGCAGUUGGAAACGACUGAUAAUACCGCAUAAGCGCACAGCAUCGCAUGAUGCAGUGUGAAAAACUCCGGUGGUAUGAGAUGGGCCCGCGUCAGAUUAGCCAGUUGGCAGGGUAACGGCCUACCAAAAGCGACGAUCUGUAGCCGGCCUGAGAGGGCGGACGGCCACAUUGGGACUGAGACACGGCCCAAACUCCUACGGGAGGCAGCAGUGGGGGAUAUUGCACAAUGGAGGAAACUCUGAUGCAGCGACGCCGCGUGAGUGAAGAAGUAUUUCGGUAUGUAAAGCUCUAUCAGCAGGGAAGAAAGACUCGCAAGAGAGAUGACGGUACCUGACUAAGAAGCCCCGGCUAACUACGUGCCAGCCGCGGC